GGAUCUUAAGAUUUUAUGUGAUUUUUAAUAUAACAGAUUAGUUUUGAUUUUUAUCAUAGAAAAUUAGAGAAAAAAGUUUUUCUCAAGGGCAUGAAAGAAAGAGAAAAAGGUUCUCUCUUAUACAUGAAAAAUUGAGAAAAAAGGGUUCUUCUCUUGAUCUCUAUUGUAGAGAUCAGAUGCAUGGAUCUAAGAAGAAAAGAAGAGAGUCUCCUUAUUCUUUAAUUCCAUCAUAUUCUUUUCAAAUCAGCCAAU
rnacentral:lncRNA from 1 species